UUUUUCAGGGUCCUCAUACUGCGAGGAUCCUCCGGAUCUUCACUAUUUUUAUUGAUGAGCAAUUGCGCUACUAACAGAAUCAUGUAGAGGAAAGGAGACGAUUAUGGAAUAGAUGGGGGCUGUGAAAUAUCAUGAUAUGUUGUAUUACAGUUUGCGAUGCAUUCUAAGGGUGACCGUUAAAAUUACUUAUUACUGUUAGUCUGUUUAGACGUUAUAACAUGGCCAUUAAUGUUUACUGCAUGAGUUGCAUUUCAGUUUAGCAUUUUACUCGAAGAAUCUCUACUUAUAUUUAUAUCUUAUGUUAAUAUUCUAUGAUCUCUACUUAUAUUGAUAUUCUAUGAUUAACAAACUUUAUAAUGAAAGCAGUUAUUUCAAUAAAAUAAAAUAGUAUUUCAAUCCUUUCCUUUCCUCUACAUUGCAUUUGCUAAUAAAUUUUUUAUUUCAACGAAAACCUGCGAUACACGGAGAAAAACGAUAAAUUAACAAAAACAGAAUUCAUCAGCGUAUUAACAUUAAAGAGUCAGCGUAUUAAAAUCAAAGGAAGAAGCUACGGAUAGGAAAUACUAGGAGAUAUUCGAGACUUCGCGAGGCAUCCUCUCUAAGGACUUCCCCGGGACCUCGUCAUCUUUAUUACGAACAAUCGUACCGCUGAUAAAUAAAAAAACAUACACAUAAGUAAAACCAGUAUAUAGAAUUUAAUAAACUAACUCAUACAAAUAACUGAAGAUACAAAAUAAAAUGCGCGCAAAAAUGAAACGAUGGCCCGACUUGUCCCGGGCUUU